CUCUCCUUCUCUCUUCUCACUCUCCUACACCAUUAAUAGGAUGACAUCCUCAACAUUUAUCAUCCCAUUAAAUUCAAGAUAUGCAUUAAGUGAAGAAAUCACUCCAUCACAUCAUCUCAUCAAAGCUCAUCAAAGCAAGCUUCCCUCUCUCCUUUUUACUCCCUUCGGCAGCCCCCUCCCCUCCUCACUCCACCACACGUCUCUCCUUGUUUCACCAUUUUUGGAAAGGAUUAAGGAAGCCAAAAGUGCUACCCUCACACCAAGCUAUUAAGUGUGCUUCAAUCUUCAAGCACAAGCUCCAAGAGGCCUACGCAUCAUCCCCUACUUCACCUCCAUUGAUCUUGUUGGCUUUGAACGUCAGGAGGAUUAGCACUGCUAUUCCGAUUCUGAGAUAAGGUUAAACGACAGGCUUUGCCUAUACAGGUUGGCUGGCUGGUGCUGACGGGACGGAGCUGAGGCUAGGGUCAAAUUCCUAUUUUAGACUUCCGUUGUAGCAAUCACUCAUAUCCGUCUUUUGACUAAAUUUAUGCUAAUGAAUGUCGGUUGUCAGAAGCAUGAAACAAAACUUGUGAUCCAAAGGGGCAUAGCCCGACUUGAUAUUUUAUUACUCGGCUUUAACAAGGUUUUUCCCUUGUUUAUUUCUAUGAAUUA